UACGUAGGGGGGCACGCGUUGUCCGGAUUUACUGGGCGUAAAGAGCGUGUAGGCGGCCAAGCAGGUCCGUUGUGAAAACUGGAGGCUUAACCUCCAGACGUCGACGGAAACCGCGCGGCUAGAGUCCGGAAGAGGAGAGUGGAAUUCCGGGUGUAGCGGUGGAAUGCGUAGAGACCGUCGAAGAACACCAGUGGCGAAGGCGGCCCGCUGGGCAGUGGCUGACGCUGAGGCGCGACAGCGUGGGGAGCAAACAGG
rnacentral:rRNA from 1 species